rnacentral:lncRNA from 1 species
AGGAAGAGGACAGGAGAGGAGGAGGGGAAGGUGGGGAGGGACGGGGCGGGGCUGGGGAGGAGGGGGAGGAGGAGCGGGGGGAGGACACAGUGGCGGCUGUGGUGGCCCAGAUGCCUCCCUGGCAGGGCCGUGGGGAGGAGGAGGGAGGGGUAGUUCUGAGCCUUCCAGGGCAGCCCCUAUCCUUCCCACCACCCUGAGGAGCUGCCCGGCCUGUCUGACCCUCACUCUGCCCUCUCAUGUCUCCUGGGCUCAGGCUGUAGCCACAAGACCCCAGAAACCUGGGCCCCCGAGCACCACCCUCCUUCAAGUCACCCCACUGUCCAGACAAUGCUUCCUGAACUCUUAUUCAUACUGCAAAGCCCAUCUCUAAUGCCCCCUUGCCCAGGCUACCGCCCCUGACUACUCCCCUGAAGGAGGGUUGGACCCUCACCCCAGGACGCUGCCCUGUCCCAGCCCCCACUGCUCCCUGCUGUUAUGUCUGACUGUGGGCCUUCCAGGUCGGGCCGGGGUCCAAGCCCCUGGGGCCUGGCACAGGGUCGAGUAAAUGAACCAUUUAGUGAAGAAACGAAUGACUGAGCAGGUGGAUGGCAGGAGGACAGCCAGAUGGGGAAACUGAGGCUCGGAGAGGGGAGGGAGCUGGCUGAGGCUGCACGGAGGUCUCCUGCACCCUCUGCCCCUUAGCCUGCAGACAGUGAGCUUUGUCCUUUUCCUGUGCCAGCUGACAGCCCAGGGCCUUCUCCUGGGGCACUGCUGUGGGGGUGGCUGGACACCAGGGGGUCUUCACCCAGUGAGGCUCCUUUGGGGCCUGAUGUGGGGCUGCCCGCCUGGCCCCCUCAGUGAGAAGAAUGCUGCCUGUCAGAUCUGGCCCUUGGAUGGAAUGUAAGAAAUGAGACCCCAGGGACCCAGCAGGACCACACCCUGCUGGCUGGCCAUGCUCCAGAGCUGGGGCGCCGGGCACCAGAGGCCCAGAGGCCUGGACUGGCUCCCCCACAGGUCCCAUGUCCACCUCUGGCCAUGGAGGCCCUCCCG